rnacentral:rRNA from 1 species
CUUCCGGUUGAUCCCGCCGGACCCGACUGCUAUCAGAGUGGGACUGAGCCAUGCGAGUCAACGUAGCAAUACGUGGCAUACGGCUCAGUAACACGUAGUCAACAUGCCCAGGGGACGAGGAUAACCUCGGGAAACUGAGGAUAAACCUCGAUAGGCCAUGAUUUCUGGAAUGAUUCUUGGCUCAAACCUAUAUGGCCCCUGGAUUGGACUGCGGCCGAUCAGGCUGUUGGUGAGGUAAUGGCCCACCAAACCUAUUACCGGUACGGGCUCUGAGAGGAGGAGCCCGGAGAUGGGCACUGAGACAAGGGCCCAGGCCCUAUGGGGCGCAGCAGGCGCGAAACCUCUGCAAUAGGCGAAAGCCUGACAGGGUUACUCUGAGUGACUUUCGCUAAGAAAGUCUUUUGGUACCUCUAAAAAGGGUGCAGAAUAAGGGGUGGGCAAGUCUGGUGUCAGCCGCCGCGGUAAUACCAGCACCCCGAGUGGUCGGGACGAUUAUUGGGCCUAAAGCAUCCGUAGCCGGUUCUGCAAGUCCCCCGUUAAAUCCAGCUGCUCAACAGAUGGGCCGCGGAGGAUACUACAGAGCUAGGAGGCAGGAGAGGCAAGCGGUACUCAGUGGGUAGGGGUAAAAUCCGUUGAUCCAUUGAAGACCACCAGUGGCGAAGGCGGCUUGCCAGAAUGCGCUCGACGGUGAGGGAUGAAAGCUGGGGGAGCAAACCGGAUUAGAUACCCGGGUAGUCCCAGCCGUAAACGAUGCAGACUCGGUGAUGGGUUGGCUUCGCGCUAACCCAGUGCCGCAGGGAAGCCGUUAAGUCUGCCAAGUGGGUCGUACGGUCCCAAGACUGAAACUUAAAGGAAUUGGGCGGGGGAACC